rnacentral:rRNA from 1 species
UUUUCCUACGGGAGGCAGCAGUGGGGAAUAUUGCACAAUGGGGGAACCCUGAUGCAGCGACGCCGCGUGAGUGAAGAAGUAUUUCGGUAUGUAAAGCUCUAUCAGCAGGGAAGAUAAUGACGGUACCUGACUAAGAAGCAUCGGCUAACUCCGUGCCAGCAGCCGCGGUAAUACGGAGGAUGCGAGCGUUAUCCGGAUUUAUUGGGUUUAAAGGGUGCGUAGGCGGAAUGCCAAGUCAGCGGUAAAAUCGCGGGGCUCAACCUCGCUCCGCCGUUGAAACUGGCGUUCUUGAGUGGGCGAGAAGG